GUAUUAUUUUGCUAGCAUUUUCCUUCAUAUGCAUUUAUCUGUUUCCAUUUUAUAACCUUAACUGACCUCAGGAAAUAACUUUUAUCCUAUGAAGGUACAAAGAUGGCGAACCACUAUCAGCUGAAGAUCAGUCAUUUGUACUUGAUAGCGUUUUUACCCAUCAUCCUGAUCAAGUGUCAAAAAUGGGUGAUGGAGUUGGCUAUGUCAUGAUUAAUAAGCACAGUUCUUUCCAAGACAGCAGGUGUUUCUAUGUUGUCUCUACUGAUGGGAGAAACGAAGAUUUUUCUAACCGAAAAUGUAUUGAGAAUUUCAUCAAGGGUAAGUACCCUGCUGUUGCUGAAUCCUUCAUUUCUAAAUACUUCAAAAAACCCCGUUCCUUUGUUCAUGUUGAACGAGAAUAGUUUCAGUUUCUAUCUGGAUGUGUCUGUAUUUGUGGAUAUAAAUAUCUAUAUACUCAUAUUGUGUAGCCGAAUUGUUCUUUUUGUAUUUUCUGAUUAUCUUGCUUAGUUCGUCCAUAUAGUGAAACCACCAGUUUGCAAUCUUUUGGUUAUUG